CCCUUUCACCUGUGGGCAAAACCAUGCCCUGUGUGUGGCUCUUGACCUGCACAAAAUGGAGAAAGCAAGUUGAGCUCUAGCUUCCUUCACUCUCUGCAUCUUAGUUGUGGUUGUGAUGUGAACAGCUGCUUGAAGCUCCUUCCACUGUGUCUUCCAUACAAUAAUAGUUUUACUCUCAAACUGUGCCCUCAAAAAAAUCUAUGUUCCAAAGUAAGGAACAAAGCUUACUCAACUUGCUUUUGUAGGUGUUCUAUCACAGCAACAAAGAAAGACAAGGACACAUCCCUGUGUUCUCAGAAGUUAGGUUUUUACUCAUGUGGUUCUCCCAGAAAUGCACUCAGACUCUUCAGUCAUGAUGGAGAUGAAAAUUGGAUUCUGUAUCAAGGUGUCGAAGAGCUCUCAGCUAUGCCAAGCUUCUUCUCCAACUUUAUCCUCCCAUAGACUCAGAGAAUCUGCACGGUCCCCCUGAGAGAAGCAGCAUCCAUGACUCUGGACUCCUUGAGCAGGCAAAGUUUCUUCAUGGCUGUCACUCUGUGUAAGAAACUCUUUUAUGUAUCUUGAAUUCAGUACUAAACUCCGACGUUCUCAGUUAUACCUCAUUGAUAUUUUAACAAGGAAUAAUAUGCCAAUGUGUUAUUUGAGUUAAUAAAAAAUCUUCUACGUCUACCAUUUCUUGUUGUGGAUAUUGGGUAGCCACAGACUGUCAUUCAAAGAAAGAUUCUAUGUGAUGGAACAGAAAACCUGAGUUCAGUGUUGAACUGUCUCAAGUAAAUAUGAAUCCUACAUUAACAUUUCCUGGGCCUCCAUCUACAGUUGUGCCUGUGGAAGAGGGUGCUGUAUCCCAUGAGCUCAAGGUCAUCAACUUUAGACUCCUUGAUUCCAAAGCUGGGAGCAAAUCAACCGAUAUUGUUUUCUAUCCGCAGG
rnacentral:lncRNA from 1 species